GUCGGGAUAGCUCAGCUGGUAGAGCGAAGGACUGAAAAUUCUCGUG
rnacentral:tRNA from 1 species